GAUAAAGCCGAGGUGAGGAUCCGAGCCGCGCCUUCCCGCCCGCCCAGGCACGGACUUGCCUUCGUAUCACGCUUUUCUUCCGUCCGCCCUGCGCGGGAAGUCUCUGAGGUGUGCCCUGAGGGAGCGCCUCAGGGCUCCCUCAGGAGACCCAAGCCUGAGGUAAAACUGCCAGAGCUGGUCAUGGAGGGCACGUCCGAGUGGGGACACAGGGCUCGGGCCCAUCGUGGGGACACUGGGAUGCGGGGCUGAAGGAAGACCAACCAAACAUGGAAAGAACUUGAAGGUCAGAGUGCUUGAAGCAACUCCACAAGGGUCUGUCUCUGCAGGACUCACUAUGGGAUCACUGUUUCUGCACAGUUUCUGCAUACUUAUACUUACAGCCUUAGUAGGGCUUUGUAGAACGGCCUUGUGAAGAAAGCAUCGAGAAGGUACUGGUGAAUGAGAGCAAGGCCAAGAAUACGACCACUGAACCUGAACCUGGGAUAUAAACAUACAGAGUAAAUGAAGUGUAACUCAAGAUACUCAGCACAGAAACUUACAGAGGUAGCUGCCUUGGCUCCCUGCACAUCAGCUGAACUGUGUCAAAAGUCACUACUGCAGAUACAGAACUGAGCAAAUCUGGCUCUGGGACUUCCACCGUGUGCAGUUAUCGCAGGCAGUCCAGC